CAAUAAGUUACAAAGGGCUAAAGGUGGAUGCCUUGGGACUAGAUGGCGAUGAAGGACGUGCAAAUCUGCGAUAAGCUAUGGGGAGCCGAUAAGAGGCGACGAUCCAUAGAUCUCCGAAUGAGGAAACUCAAUUAGUAGAGAUACUAAUUAUCGUUAACUGAAUUCAUAGGUUAACGAAGAAAUACCCGCUGAAGUGAAUCAUCUCAGUAAGUGGAGGAAAAUAAAUCAAAGAGAUUCCGUUAGUAGUGCGAGCGAACGCGGAUCAGGACAAACCGGAUUUAUCCGGGGUUAAGGACUACAAUGUGGAAUUUAAAUAUAUAGUAGAAGCUGUUGGGAAGCAGCGCAAUAUAGUGUGAUAGCCACGUAUACGAAAUAUAUUUAUACCUAGUAGGAUCCAGAGUAGAACGGGACACUUGAAAUCCUGUUUGAAGUCGGGGCGACCAUGCUCCAAUCCUAAAUACAAACUAGUCACCGAUAGAGAAUAGUACAGUGAUGGAACGGUGAAAAGAACCCAGAAAUGGGAGUGAAAUAGAUACUGAAACCAUUAGCCUACAACGAGUUAGAGCACAUUAAUGUGUGAUAGCGUGCGUUUUGAAGUAUGAGUCGGAGAGUUGUGAGCGGCAUGCAAGCUUAAGUCGUAGAGAUGGAGGCGUAGGGAAACCGAGUGUUAAGAGCGCGUUUAGUAUGUCGUUACAGACCCGAAACGGGGUGAUCUAGUCAUGGGCAGGUUGAAAGCUGAGUAAAAUCAGCUGGAGGACCGAACCCACUUUCGUUGAAAUGCCAGGGGAUGACCUGUGACUAGGGGAGAAAUUCCAAUCGAACUCCGUGAUGGCCGGUUCUCAUCGAUAUAGCUUUUAGGCUAGCGUCGAGUGUUUAUAUAUGGGGGUAAAGCUCUGAUUGACUGAUGGCGCCACCUCGGCGUACUGAUUUCAAUUAAACUGGGAAUACCAUAUAACAAGCUCGGCAGUCAGACUGUGGGGGAUAAGCUUCAUAGUCGUGAGGAAAAGAGUCCAGAUCAUUAUUUAAGGUCCCUAAUUUAUGCUAAGUGGAAAAGGAUGUUGAAUUUCUUAAACACCAAGGAUGUUGGCUUAGAAGCAGCCAUCGUUUAAAGAGUGCGUAACAGCUCACUUGUCGAGAAAUUCUGCGCCGAAGAUUCAACGGGGCUAAAGCAUAAAACCGAAAAUAUGGGUUGUGUAAAUUUACGAAUUUAUACAGCGGUAGAUGAGCGUUGUAAACUGCGAUGAAGGUAGACUGUGAAGACUGCUGGAGUGUUUACAAGUGAGAAUUCCGAUGUGAGUAACGAUUGAAUGUGAGAAUCAUUUAAGCCUAUUGAACAAGGUUUCCAGGACUAGGGUCGUCCUUCCUGGGUUAGUCAGAACCUAAGACGAGGCCGAGAGGCGUAGUCGAUGGAUGAAAUGUUAAUAUUCAUUUACUUGGUAUAUUGGUGACGGAGUGACGGAGAAGGUUAAUAUGAGCCCAUUAUCGGAUUUGGGUGAAAGUACAAAGUCUUAAAAGCAGGUAAAUCCACUUUUUUCAAGGACAAUGUGCGAGACGAAUGAAAACUUCGGUUAGUAAACAAGUCAUAUACAUCACGCUUCCUAGAAAAACUUCUAAACUUAACAAUAUAUCAAUCUGUACCGAGAACGAACACACGUGUUCAAGUUGAAUAAACUAUGGCUAGCGAGUUAAUUAUCGUUAAGGAACUCUGCAAAUUGACCCCGUACGUUAGCAAUAAGGGGAGCUCAUCGCAAGAUGAGUCACAGAAAAUAGCGAGAAGGGACUGUUUAUCAAAAACACAGCUUUAUGCCAAAUCGUAAGAUGAUGUAUAUGAGGCGACACCUGCCCAGUGCUGGAAGGUUAAGGAAGCGAGUGCAAGCUUGUGACCGAAGCCCCAGUGAACGGCGGCCGUAACUAUAACGGUCCUAAGGUAGCAAAAUUCCUUGUCGGGUAAAUUCCGUCCCGCUUGAAAGGUGCAACCACUUCUUGACUGUCUCGACGAUACACUCGGUGAAAUCCUGGUAGGAGUGAAGACGCUCCUUUGGCGUGGUGGGACGGAAAGACCCCAUGAAGCUUUACUGUAACUUAGCAUUGUCUGAUUAAUUGAUAUUUAAAGCAUAGGUAGGAGACUUUGAUAUAACGCCGCUAGGUGUUAUGGAGUCAACAAGUGUAAUACUACCAUUAUUAAUUGAUUAGACUCACCCGCCGGUGUCAUCCACCGGGGGAACAGUGUUAGGCGGACAGUUUGACUGGGGCGGUCGCCUCCCAAAAUGUAACGGAGGCGCGCAAAGGUACAUUCAGUAUGGUUGGAAAUCAUAUAGCGAGCGUAAUGGUAUAAAGUGUGCUUGACUGCGAGACGUACAUGUCGAGCAGGUAAGAAAUUAGGUCAUAGUGAUCCGGUGGUUCCGAAUGGAAGGGCCAUCGCUCAUCGGAUAAAAGUUACUCUGGGGAUAACAGGCUGAUACUGUCCAAGAGUUCAUAUCGACGACAGUGUUUGGCACCUCGAUGUCGACUCAUCUUAUCCUGGAGCUGUAGCAGGUUCCAAGGGUUCGGCUGUUCGCCGAUUAAAAAGAUACGUGAGUUGGGUUCAAACCGUUGUGAAACAGGUUGGUCCCUAUCUGCCAUGCCCGCAGAAAAAUUGAGAAGAGUUGCUCCUAGUACGAGAGGAUCGGAGUGAAGUUACCUCUAAUGUUCCAGUUGUCCCGCCAGGGGCAGUGCUGGGUAGUUACGUAGCGAACGGAUAAGCGCUGAAAGCAUAUAAGCGCGAAGCCUCCUUCAAGAUAAAUUUUUCCUUCCCGCAAGGGAAAUAAGAAUCGUCAUAGACUAUGACGUUGAUAGGAUACAUGUGUAAGUACCGCAAGGUAUUUAGCUGAGUAUUACUAAUAAUUCGAAAGACUUAUGAUU
rnacentral:rRNA from 1 species